AUCUGUUUAUCUCGGUUGGUACAGCACGAGACUCUUAAUCUCAGGGUUGUAGGUUCAAGCCUCACAUAGGGCA